GACGUAGGGCGCGAGCGUUGUCCGGAUUUAUUGGGCGUAAAGAGCUCGUAGGCGGCUCGUUGCGUCGGCUGUGAAAACCCGCAGCUCAACUGUGGGCUUGCAGCUGAUACGGGCGGGCUGGGAUUCGGUAGGGGAGACUGGAAUUCCUGGUGUAGCGGUGAAAUGCGUAGAUAUCUGGAGGAAUACCGGUGGCGAAGGCGGCAUCCUGGACCAUUACUGACGCUGAGGCGCGAAAGCUAGGGGAGCAAACGGG
rnacentral:rRNA from 1 species